UAAAACAUAACCAAGACAGACUGGACCUGGGCAAAAGAGCCUUGGGAUGUCUUAACCCUGCACCAGCUUGUCCAGGACAGUACCACAUCCAUUCUCUCUGGAAAGAGAAUAUGAUCACAACUCAAGUCCAUAUGGGAACAAUGUUGAUGUCCAGUUCCAACACCCAGUGAGAUGAACUAAACCCAAACUGUUCAAAGGAGGAGACUUGCUCAAGGAGGGAGAGCUAGCCCCAGUUUAGGAAUCUCGCUCCACCACCUCCCUGUGCAAGCAUCUCACCAUGUAAGGAGCAACAAGUACCAGGCAAGACUCAAUGUGCAGUCACUGAGGGCCAAGCCUGCAAGUAGGCCACCCCCUCUGACUUCAAUUGGAGAGGAGGAUCGGCCCUCGGUCAGGGAAGCCCUCUCUUCAGGAAGAGAGCUCAGAUCCAUGGCAGCACAGGACCAAAAGGACAGAAGUAACUCUAUUCUGCACGGGCCCGUGCAGCUUGCGAGAAGGCUUCCAUUUCACACCGGUUUUAUCUCCACAAUUUCUCGUCUCACUGCACUCCGAUCCCGGGCCCUGGCACGUGGCGGGCGAGGCCUGAACGAACAGCAUUUCCUACUCAUUUGGAAUCAAAAGCCAAGGAGAACAACUGUUGGAACCCAGGGCCAUGGUCACCUAGUCCACACUCAUUACUGACCUCUCUGCGAGUCCACUGGCAGCAAGGUGUUUACUAGGUCAGAGGCCCCGCGGAAGGUGCAAUUCUUGAGGCCCUGUCCUACCCCACCGCUGUUCUCCUAGCACUGAACCUGAGAGCAGUCCGAAGCAUCGCUUCAAUAAAUGAAUGAAGAGACCUAAUGGCAGCUAUCCAGAUAUUACUGGCAAGCGUCUCUGGCUGGAGAUGCAGAAGCAAGCCCACCAUGUUCCUUAGAGAUGUGCUGCCCUGGAGCCAUACAUCUGUGGGGGACCAGGGAGGAUGUGUCUGCAAGCUGUGUUCCCCAGACGGUGACUCAGCUGCAUCCUGGGCACCUGCAAAGCCAGCAUCACCCAUCUAAUGAAGCGGGGCUCCCAAGAGGCCUACAAUCUUCACAGAGGAGGAGGAGGAGGAGGACCUAGACUCUCAGACGAGUCUCAAUUUCACAGCAUCAGGGACGUGCGCACCAACGCGCUGAACCAGAAAACGAGAGUCUGGCAGGAGACGCAGACACACCAUGAGCAUCGGGGGAGCAGAGAUUAGGGCCCUUCAAAAUCAAUUUUGAAUUCAAAGUUUUAAAUGUGUUCUCCAGGCACAAAGAGGGGGUCCUCCAGCCUGGCUCAGCCUACCUAGCUGCUGGGCUCUGUUUCUUUCCUGAAGCAACAGAGCACAGCACCUGCAAGCUACUGGGAGAGGGACAGCGGAGGGG